rnacentral:lncRNA from 1 species
AGUCACCCAGUCUCCAUCCACACUGUCUGCAUCUGUAAGGAGACAGUGUCACCAUCACUUGCCGGGCGAGUCAGAGCAUUGGUAGUAAUUUAGACUGGUAUCAGCAGAAACCAGGGAAGGCCCCUAAGGGCCUGAUCUAUGCUGCAUCCAGUUUGCAAUCUGGGGCUCCUUCGCGGUUCGGUGGCAGUGGAUCUGGGACAGAUUUUACUCUCACCAUCAGAAUCCUGCAGCCUAAAGAUGUUGCAACUUAUUACUGUCAACAGUAUAAAAAUUACCCUAUCACAG